CACCGGCGACAAUCUGAGACAAACACGGCCCUCUCACUCUCUCUGUCCUUGCACUUGCACGCACUGAAGCAAACACUGAAGUAAAAAAAAAAAAGGGCUCAUACUGCUCCGCUUCUGCCCCAACGCCGGCGACCGGACAGCCGCUCCGUGACCGGAGACCAACCCCCGAGGUGGUACUUCUCCCCCACCCCGUCCCCCGUCCCCCGCCCCCCAUCCCUGCAACACCCUCAUCUCUCCUCCGGGCUCCAGCUCUCCCCCAUGUCGCAUCCCGUGUGACCGUCGCCUCCACAUCAACGACCACAUCCGGCCGGUGACCCGCGACUGGGAGGUGCUCGAGCUCUUCAUGCUCACGGGCGAUACAGCGCUAGGCGGAAGCGGAUGCGCAGGGGCUCGUCUCCACGCGAAUGGUGGCCGCGGACAUCGCGCAUCUGACGCGUACAGAGCACCUGAGCUUGGAGCUCGGCUAGCCACAGGCGAGCUGUUGGCACUACCCUGUGGGGCGAAUCGAAGUAACUCAUGUUGUCUGUGAGAAGCGGGGGUAGAUUGAUGCAGUGUGAAGGAGCGUGUUUGUUGAUGACAACUUAACGGCCUAGCGAUUUGAAGCAUGGGCGAGCCUUAGUUAUUCAUGUCAAGUAUCUCAAAUAUCCCAUGUACUGCUGUUCAAUCUUGGUGGCCCAGAGACCCUCAAUGAUGUUCAGCCGUUUUUGUUCAAUCUCUUUGCUGAUUCAUUGAUUCAUUGUGGCUCGAUGGUCCAGGAUGAGAAGGUAGAGCUAAACAUCCAAUUCAUGUAAUAUUUGAGAAUUAUGGUCAUCAUCCGUUGUAUGCAUCAAUGCUUUCUUAGGGAUGGGUUUUUGUGCUUUCAUGAACAAGCUCAGAUACAUGGAGAGCUGAUUGAACUGCAAUGACCAUCUGAUCAUGUUGCGCAAGAUAGACCUAGAAACUUUCAAGGUCAUGAGUAGUAUGCUAUUCAUGAAGAUGAUUACCUAUGAUGUCAUAUACUCUCAUUUGGAGGAGUAGGCCGCUGAUAUGUCAGCUGCCCACGCAUCUGGAGGGCUCCUUGCGAAAUAUAUUGCGUCUUCUACCAGGAAGGAGAUCACAUGCAUUCUAGUAUCCUGAAGUUACAUGUUUCACUCACUGGUUAUAGGAAUUUUGGCUCUUGCUGUCAAGAAAUUACUGCAUUAAGUGAGCAGAGAGAACAUUUGGCUACAACAGCACUACAGCAACCAAGGCGACGAUGGAAUAGAUGGAUCAAAUGUUGGAGCUGCUACUAAGCUCCUCUUCUUGUUCUUCCUCUCAGCUAUGUUGGCUUUGGCUACAAACGAAGUUACAAAUCCCUUAAAUAGACAUAUAUGCAUGGACCAGCAGCCAGUAACCCACGCAUGCAGUAGCCUCCCAGUCCACUCACAGAUGGCUCGAGUAGCACAAUCACACAUGCAGCCAACGAUGUAGCUACUGACUCGGCUAACGCAGUCCACUCACACACAACCACCUAUGACUUGGCCAAAUGAAAUCUAUGGAGGAGGAGCGUUAGUGAAUAUGACUAUUUUUAGAUGGAAGUGAAUAAGACUUGGCCAUCACCGUCUGAAGUUAGAGGUGUGGUCUGUCUGACCGCAUCUGAUAUUGUGGUCAAAUGUGGCAUUUAUUUUUAUUUAUGUUAAUUAACUUUGCCAUUUAUUUUUUAGUUUGGCUGAACUUCCACAAAAAGGUGACAAAUCUUUUUUCAGCCUUUAACUUUUAUCUUUUGAGCCACAGGAUGUAUUUACCCAUAUACUAUUUUUAGUUCAGUUGACCUGGCCUUGUCAUUCCAUACGUGUUUUCUUUUCUACAAUGUUAUAUGCAUGUUUAUAAUAAUUUGAUAGGGAUGAACUGUAACAA